ensembl:lncRNA
GUGUUCAGUCACUCAGUCAUGUCUGACUCUUUGCAACCCUAUAUAUAGACUGUAGCCUGAGUGUAGGCUCCUCUGUCCAUGGAAUUUUCUAGGCAAGAAUACAGGCAUGGGUUGCCAUUUCAUACUCCAGGGGAUUUUUGCAACCCAAGGAUCGAACCCACAUCUCCUGCAUUGACAGGUGGAUCCUUUAUCAUUAGCACCACCUGGGAAACCCCAUCCUGAAACCAAGAGGACCAUUCAAAGGGCAGGUGCCCUCACAGAUAAUCCCCUUGUAUGCUUUCCCAGCAGAGAGGAGAAAGGGAUCUAUUUGUGAGGCUAUCUCCUACCCAUGAGAACCAGUCAAAACUGUCCCAAGUUUGGUGCCUGGGGCUCCUCUGAGCUCAGCCUGUCCUGGAGAGGGUACAGUGAAGAGGAAAAGGACCCAUCAGGACCUGGACAUUAAGGAAGCAAAUGCUUUCUCAGUAACAAAGGAGGAGACUCCAAGAUGUCUCUAUAGCUUCGUUCUCAAAAUAGCUAAAAGAAAAACAGAAGAGGCAAGGAGGCCACCCAUGUGUUUAUGAAGACAGCUACAGUUGGGAGCCUGGAGGACAGGGGGUUGUUUAAAGGGAAAUGCUGGGAAGUGGUCCAGUAUGCAGAAGCAGAGGUCACGGAGUCAGGAGGUCCCAGCAUGACAAGGCUGGAAGGGGCCUCAAAGUUCACUGGCUGAACUUCACAGCCAAAGCCUCACAUCUUCAAGAGCUUGCCCGCGAGAGUGAGGCCCCUGCUCUCGCCACUGCCAUGGAGAGCACCCUGCCCCAAUGGCCAAGGUCCACCUUCGCACACCUCCGCUAGGUCUAGCCUUUCUGGUUAGGAGAGCUGUCUGGACAAAGAAAACCAAUCCCGCUUGUCUUUUGACUCUGCAGCCGGACGGGAAGGGAACAAUAGCCCCAGGAGAAGUGCGGGGAGGGCCUGACUCUUCACAUCUUAAUGAAGGUGUGAACUUUGAAGCUUUAUGACGAACACUUGAAAGCCUAGCCCCGGUUAAGCUCCUUUCCGAAGCUCUCAGUCCCCCUGGAUAAUGAGGCUGCAGCUGUGUGGGAAGCACUGGGGCAGGAGAAAGGGAGGACCCGGGUUAUCGAGAGACAGGAGCCUCGCUGGGCCUGGCAGAAAAACCACCCUGGGCUGCAGGCUCUGCCCUGUAACCAGGCUCUCAUGGCUGUUGGGGACAAGGAACUCUCUGUUCGUGAUGAAGGAGAGCAGUAAGUCCAUUAAGGAGAGGAGAAAGGCCUGGAGACUCCUUGUAUUUUUUUUAACUUGUUAGGUAAUAAAAAUAAUAACACACACCUGGUUGGAACCUGACAUCAUCACAUCUUAUUGAUUCACACAAAAGUCUCUGUGGUGCAGAAAGAACAGUGGCUCAGAAGUUACUGCCCCUGACUGCAGUCACUUGGCCAGGAAACAGCAGGUCAGCUCGUUGCAAGCCAGGUUCUCUGUCCUCCCCACAACUACCUCUUCUCUCGAAGCCUUCGAGGCAAGCCUCCAGGUAUCCACGGAAAUGUCCGAUCACGAUCAGGACCAAACGAUGACAACAACAAAGUGACGGUGUGAUGUUGAUCGAGUGCUUCCUGUGUCCCCAGCACCAGAGGUUCCCUAUCUACAGGCAUGAUCUCAUUUAACCUUCCUAACAGCCAAGGGAGGUAUUCAUGUUGAUGGGGAAGCUUAGGCACAGAAAGGAGAAGCAACUUACCCAAGGUCACAUGACUGCAAGUAAACAGGCCCCUUGUCUGCUUAUCAUAUAUUAUAUUGGGUUGGCCAAAAAGUUCCUUCGGGUUUCUCUGUACAACCUUACAGAAAAACCAGAACAGUCCUACCACCCAAAGACAAGUGCUAUACUCACGUCCUGGCUGUUUCCUCUAGGCGCUCACAUUUCACACCUAUUCGUUCAGAAUGCACUUCCUGAUGAGCAUUUCCUGUGUGCCAGGCACCAUUCUUGGAAUUGUGGAUCCAGAUAAUCCAAAGCUGAGCAAAAGCAGAGUGUGCCUGUCCUCACAGAGUUGACAUUCUAGAAGCACCGUUCUGUGCUUUUCAGUAUUUCCACUGUCAAGAACUACUGCUCUGGAAUAAGGGACGACUGAUGACCACUGUGAGAUCCAGGAGUGGGUGGCUGAACGCCAACCUUCUGCAGGCAGUAAAUACAUGGGAAGCUGAAACUGAGACAGCAGGCCAGUCCCCAAGGCUGGGAAAAAAUAGACUGAGCGUUUGCACCAGUGCUCAAAGGUCAUCCUGCAGUAAGUGUCGAAAGGCAUUUGAGAAACUGCAGCGGUGCCCAGCGGGCAGGACCCAGGCACUAGCCUCUGGGCCGGAGGGUGCACUGAAGCCCCAGUGAAGAUACUGAUCCACCACACCUCCCUCCUCAGUGACACACUGUUGGGGAGGAAUGUGCUGGAAGGAGGUGGGAGCAGAAGCCAGGGAGGAAGUGUUCACGGUACAUGCUGAUGACUGGAAUACAUGGGAAAGAACUCGCCUGCAAUGCAGGAGACACAAGAGAUGCAGGUUCAGUCAUAGGUUGGGAAGAUCCCCUGGAGGGGGGCAUGGCGACUCACUCCAGUAUUCUUGCCUGGGGAAUCCCAUGGACUGAGGAGCCUGGCGGGCUAUAGUCCAGGGGUUCACAAAUAGUCAGACACGACUGAGCGACUGAGCACAGCACAUAUGGGAAAGAACAUCUUCCCAUUCUGAUUCUUCCCAUCUCUUUGGGGCUGGGGUCAAAAUAAGAAGAGGUGAGAGAGAAAAAAAAAAAAAAAAGGAUUGAGUAAUAAGGGAUCACAAGAGGGAAACCUCCCUAGGAAGUAUCUCAAGUCUUCAUCGUCCUGUCAUACUCCCAGGUCAGACUCUCACCACCAAUCUUCCUUAACUGGCCUCUGCUUUCAGGACUGGCCCCUCCAAUCUAGCCUCAAUCCUUCAGUCAGAGUUCUCUUUCUACAGCAUAGAUUUGGGCAUGUCUUCAGUUCAGUUCAGCCGCUCAGUCGUGUCCAACUCUUUGCGACCCCAUGAAUCCCAGCACGCCAGGCCUCCCUGUCCAUCACCAACUCCCGGAGUUCACCCAGACUCACGUCCAUCGAGUCCAUGAUGCCAUCCAGCCAUCUCAUCCUCUGUUGUCCCCUUCUCCUUCUGCCCCCAAUCCCUCCCAGCAUCAGAGUCUUUUCCAAUGAGUCAACUCUUCACAUG